UACGGGGGGGGCAAGCGUUGUUCGGAAUUACUGGGCGUAAAGGGCUCGUAGGCGGCCAACUAAGUCGGAUGUGAAAUCCCCAGGCUUAACCUGGGAACUGCAUCCGAUACUGGAUGGCUUGAAUCCGGGAGAGGGAUGUAGAAUUCCAGGUGUAGCGGUGAAAUGCGUAGAUAUCUGGAGGAAUACCGGUGGCGAAGGCGGCAUCCUGGACCGGCAUUGACGCUGAUGAGCGAAAGCUAGGGGAGCGAACGGG
rnacentral:rRNA from 1 species